UUGGCAAUAGGCAUUUUCAUACUACAUCACGUGCCCAUUAGGAAAGGAGCGUUCUUUCAAUUCCUAGCAUACUUUAACAAUGGAAAACGAACAAUUAUAAUUGGCACAAACCAUUUUCCAAUUACUGGGACAAGGGAAGAUAGAAAAUAAUAGGGAAUGGGGUGUCUAUGAGCGCUACCAUGUUGCCACAUGUGAAUGCGAAGGAGCAUAGCCUAAGCAAAUUUAUUAAAUUCGUAGAUGGUUUUGGGAGGGUUAUGGUGGAUAAAAUUGAGCCAUUUGAACAGUUUCUCACCAGCAUGUUGUUCGCAAUUAUUUAUAUCAUGCAUAGUUUGUAGACAUUCUCAUGAAUUUUUUUGUUUUUUCAUCAACAAUUAAACCAUAAAUAAGGGGACUUUUAAGCAAAAAAACACUUUUUCAAAAGCACUAAACUAUACUGUUUUUCCUUUGAAAAUUGAUAGUUUUCUUAAACCGAUGAUCGAAUUCUGCACAAAAUACUUGUAUUCAAUAAUGAUUUAAAUGAUAUUGACGGAAAAAAUCAGUAGAAUGUUUUUUGUAACAAAUAACAAUACUCGGAUAUCUACUAUAUCAAUCGUUCAGAGUCCAAACCCCCUCCCCCCCUUUUAACUGGGUAAAGAGUGAAAAUUUCGAAUUUUCAUUAGUAGCUUUGAGAUCAGCACCAUCGAAAACCCUAGGGUAGCACAAUGUUUUGAUAUCGCAGAUUGCUGUUUUCGAGAAAAUUUUCAGACAAUGCCUGCCAAAAGUCUUGGAACACUGACAUCAAUUUCCAAGGUCAAAACCAAUCAUCCCCCUCUCCCCCACGGAACAAUGUUGGUUUACUAUCAAACGGACUAGGAUUUUAGAAGGCACUUUCUUUUGCGCUUCUUUUAUGAUAUUUCUCUAAAUCAUCAACAUUGUUUGAGGGGGAAGGGGGCGGAAGUAGCAAAUUUUUUUCAUGAAAGGAAUGAAAGAUAUCAAAUGCAGCGUAAAUUGGUGGGUGUUCCAAGUACUUUUGGCAGGCAUUGUAGCUAUGUGAAUUGAUUAGGAAAAAUCCAAUAUCUGCUUAUGCCAGGCAGCCUGCAUGCAGCUGUGGCAUGUUUACUCAUGUUUCCAUAGAAAUUUUGAAGAAUAAGCUCAUUAGUAGAACUAAGCUGAUUUGUAAUGCUGAUGUCAAAUUUUCUCCUUAUAGUGAGCCACUUUCUCUGGCAGCAUAGAUUCAAUAUCACUUUCUAGUUUGUUAUUUUCAACAGCUUUAUUAUUUUUGCAACUAUAUUUCUAGAAAAACUUGAAGUAGAGGCACACUCAUUUUGGGAUAAAUUUUAUCUACAGCACCAAGAAAGGUUUUUUAAAGACAGACAUUGGCUUUUUACAGAGUUUGAAGAAUUAGCUCCAAAGUCUAAUAAUGGUCAUGGCUCUCCUGGCUUGGUACAAAUCAAUAGAAGGGAAGCUAAUGAACUUAAUUUUCCUGGUCAAAAUGCUCACACUAGAUUUUUUGAGGUUGGUUGUGGAGUCGGCAAUACGGUGUUCCCCGUGCUACAGGCGAACAGGUACGGAUCCUUUUGCAUAUCGCCUAUUCUUCCCAUCUUGC